rnacentral:rRNA from 1 species
GACGAACCGUGCAAACGUUAUUCGGAAUCACUGGGCUUAAAGCGCGUGUAGGCGGAUGGGAACGUCGGACGUUGAAAGCCCCCGGCUCAACCGGGGAAGGGGCGCCGAAACGACCCGUCUGGAGGAACGUAGGGGGACCUGGAACUUCCGGUGGAGCGGUGAAAUGCGUUGAGAUCGGAAGGAACGCCCGUGGCGAAAGCGAGGUCCUGGACGUUAUCUGACGCUGAGACGCGAAAGCUAGGGGAGCAAACGGG